rnacentral:rRNA from 1 species
UAGGGAAUAUUGCGCAAUGGACGAAAGUCUGACGCAGCCACGCCGCGUGGAUGAUGAAGCUUUUCGGAGUGUAAAAUCCUGUCAGUGGGGAAGAACCGGUCGGGGAGUAACUGCCCCGGCCCUGACGGUACCCGCAGAGGAAGUUCCGGCUAACUCCGUG